UGAUUCCUACGGGGCGCAGCAGUGAGGAAUAUUGGUCAAUGGACGCAAGUCUGAACCAGCCAAGUAGCGUGCAGGAUGACGGCCCUCCGGGUUGUAAACUGCUUUUAGUUGGGAAUAAAAGGGGGCUCGUGAGCCCCGUAUUGUAUGUACCAUCAGAAAAAGGACCGGCUAAUUCCGUGCCAGCAGCCGCGGUAAUACGGACGGUCCGGGCGUUAUCCGGAUUUAUUGGGUUUAACGGGAGCGUAGGCCGGCUUUUAAGUCAGCUGUGAAAUUCCCCUGCUCACCCGUGGACUUGCAGUUUAAAC
rnacentral:rRNA from 1 species